rnacentral:rRNA from 1 species
UACAGGAUUAGAUACCCUGGUAGUCCACGCCCUAAACGAUGUCUACUAGUUGUCGGGUCUUAAUUGACUUGGUAACGCAGCUAACGCGUGAAGUAGACCGCCUGGGGAGUACGGUCGCAAGAUUAAAACUCAAAGGAAUUGACGGGGACCCGCACAAGCGGUGGAUGAUGUGGAUUAAUUCGAUGCAACGCGAAAAACCUUACCUACCCUUGACAUGUCAGGAAUCCUCGAGAGAUCGGGGAGUGCCCGAAAGGGAGCCUGAACACAGGUGCUGCAUGGCUGUCGUCAGCUCGUGUCGUGAGAUGUUGGGUUAAGUCCCGCAACGAGCGCAACCCUUGUCAUUAGUUGCUACGAAAGGGCACUCUAAUGAGACUGCCGGUGACAAACCGGAGGAAGGUGGGGAUGACGUCAAGUCCUCAUGGCCCUUAUGGGUAGGGCUUCACACGUCAUACAAUGGUACAUACAGAGGGCCGCCAACCCGCGAGGGGGAGCUAAUCCCAGAAAGUGUAUCGUAGUCCGGAUCGCAGUCUGCAACUCGACUGCGUGAAGUUGGAAUCGCUAGUAAUCGCGGAUCAGCAUGCCGCGGUUGAUACGUUCCCGGGUCUUGUACACACCGCCCGUCACACCAUGGGAGCGGGUUUUACCAGAAGUAGGUAGCUUAACCGCAAGGAGGGCGCUUACCACGGUAGGAUUCGUGACUGGGGUGAAGUCGUAA